ACUUGAAUAGCUUAUAUUAGAGCUUGACAUUGAAGAUGUUACGGAGAUUUUUAUCUUCGAGUG
rnacentral:tRNA from 1 species